CGUAGCUAUUAACCUAUUCACAUAAGUAGAAGCUUAGGAGAAUACGCAAAGUGAUUCACUUGAUAACUUUAUCGACAUUGACUCUGAAGGAAAACGAAGAGGUAAAGGGUGGAGACGUGAAGGCGGGGAAAGAAAAAGAGAGACGAGGAGCCAGUCCGUCGUCGGUCUGACCCUUUUGGAUCGAGUGUGUGUCUGUCUGCUGUAACGAUUUCCAGUGUCCAGGAGUUUGUUUCUUCUGUGUGGGGGUGAGUCUA